UACAGAGGUCCCAAGCGUUGUUCGGAUUCAUUGGGCGUAAAGGGUGCGUAGGCGGCGCGGGAAGUCGGGUGUGAAAUCUCGGAGCUUAACUCCGAAACUGCAUUCGAUACUGCCGUGCUUGAGGACUGGAGAGGAGACUGGAAUUUACGGUGUAGCGGUGAAAUGCGUAGAUAUCGAGAGGAACACCUGCGGCGAAGGCGGGUUGCUGGGCCGACACUGACGCUGAUGCGCGAAAGCCAGGGGAGCGAACGGG
rnacentral:rRNA from 1 species